rnacentral:rRNA from 1 species
ACGGAAGGCAGCAGUAGGGAAUAUUGGUCAAUGGGGGAAACCCUGAACCUGCGACGCCGCGUGAGUGAAGAAGUAUUUCGGUAUGUAAAGCUCUAUCAGCAGGGACGAUAAUGACGGUACCUGACUAAGAAGCCCCGGCUAACUACGUGCCAGCAGCCGCGGUAAUACGUAGGGGGCAAGCGUUAUCCGGAUUUACUGGGUGUAAAGGGAGCGUAGGUGGCCAUGCAAGUCAGAUGUGAAAUCCCGGGGCUCAACCCCGGAGCUGCAUUUGAAACUGCGUAGCUAGAGUGCGGGAGAGGUAAGCGGAAUUCCUAGUGUAGCGGUGAAAUGCGUAGAUAUUAGGAGGAACACCAGUGGCGAAAGCGGCUUGCUGGACUGCAACUGACACUGAGGCUCGAAAGCGUGGGGAGCAAACAGGAUUAGAUACCCUGGUA